rnacentral:sRNA from 1 species
GGCUGGGCAGGAUUCCGGACAACGCCUGGUUCCUCUCGGGUCCUUCCGGCGUCGCCGGAGUGAAUUGAUCCGGGAGUUGAAGAGGGCUGCAAGGUGGGAAGUGAAGUCAGUGCCUCAGUUGCUGAUCAGUGUGUUUUUUGUGUCCAAUUCUUUUAUCACCAAAAAAGAGAAGAAAUAUUGCAGUGAAUGAAGAUUCCUCUGCAUUUUAGCACUGCUUUUUCAACUGUAGUUGGCUUUUGAAUGAGGAUGACAAUGGAAGAGAUGAAGAAUGAAGCUGAGACCACAUCCAUGGUUUCUAUGCCCCUCUAUGCAGUCAUGUAUCCUGUGUUUAAUGAGCUAGAACGAGUAAAUCUGUCUGCAGCUCAGACACUGAGAGCCGCUUUCAUUAAGGUGAGGUGCAAAUAAUUUACUAUGAUUAUUAAAGUGUAUGUUCUUUGUAAAUGUAAGUACGUGUGAUGGUUGCCAGUUUAUUUUCUUUUAGGGAAAGCCUUUUUAGCCAUCUUAUGCCUGUUUUACUAUAUUCCAUAAAGCUUAAAACACUUCCAAAAGAUAAACUAGAACAAAUGUUAUUUCGUUAGCAUUCAUCUUUUCAUCACUUUGUGCUUUUGAAACUUUUUCAGAGUGUUCUCUCCUUAGCUGUAGAUUAUAUUUUUGAGGUUUUUUUUUU